UUCGGUGACUAUUGCAAUAGGGUCCACCUCUUCCCAUUCCGAACAGAGAAGUUAAGCCUAUUAGCGCAGAUGGUACUUGGGUAACUCCUGGGAGAGUAUGUCGUUGCCGUUU
rnacentral:rRNA from 1 species